rnacentral:rRNA from 1 species
UACGAAGGGGGCUAGCGUUGUUCGGAAUCACUGGGCGUAAAGCGCACGUAGGCUGAUUGGUCAGUUGGGGGUGAAAUCCCGGGGCUCAACCUCGGAACUGCCUUCAAUACUGCCAGUCUUGAGUCCGAGAGAGGUGAGUGGAAUUCCUAGUGUAGAGGUGAAAUUCGUAGAUAUUAGGAAGAACACCAGUGGCGAAGGCGGCUCACUGGCUCGGUACUGACGCUGAGGUGCGAAUGUGUGGGGAGCAAACAGG